UGAGGAAUAUUGGUCAAUGGGCGCAAGCCUGAACCAGCCAUGCCGCGUGAAGGAUUGAAGGCCCUAUGGGUUGUAAACUUCUUUUGUACGGGAAGAAACCCCCCGAUGCGUCGGGGGUUGACGGUACUGUACGAAUAAGCAUCGGCUAACUCCGUGCCAGCAGCCGCGGUAAUACGGAGGAUGCAAGCGUUAUCCGGAUUCAUUAGGUUUAAAGGGUGUGUAGGCGGGGCGACAAGUCAGUGGUGAAAUCCUGCGGCUUAACCGUAGAACUGCCAUUGAAACUAUCGUUCUUGAGUCCAGUUGAGGUGGGCGGAAUGUGUGGUGUAGCGGUGAAAUGCUUAGAUAUCACACAGAACACCGAUUGCGAAGGCAGCUCACUAAACUGUCACUGACGCUGAGGCACGAAAGCGUGGGGAUCAAACAGG
rnacentral:rRNA from 1 species